AACGCGAAGAACCUUACCUGGGUUUGACAUGGGACUGCACCACGGGUAAUGCCGUGUCCGGGCAACCGGCGGUUCCACAGGUGCUGCAUGGCUGUCGUCAGCUCGUGCCGUGAGGUGUUGGGUUAAGUCCCCUAACGAGCGCAACCCCUGGAGUCCGUUGUAUUUUCGGGUCUCGACUGCCGCGCGCAACGCGGAGGAAGGUGGGGAUGACGUCAAGUCAGCACGGCCCUUACGUCCAGGGCGACACACACGCUACAAUGGCCGGUACAACGGGUUGCCAAGCCGCGAGGCGGAGCCAAUCCCCAAAAGCCGGUCUCAGUUCGGAUGGCAGGCUGCAACUCGCCUGCCUGAGGCCGGAGUUGCUAGUAACCGUGGGUCAGCACACCACGGUGAAUACGUUCCCGGGCCUUGUACACACCGACUGUAC
rnacentral:rRNA from 1 species